GGGAACUUGUAAAUAUCCUCUGCAAACCAGGAGAAAUGCAGACAUGUUGGCAAAGCUGAUCAUUUUCAUUGCGGAUCUCACCCUUGCUUUGGCUAUUUUUGUUAUCCUAUAUGCUGUUUACUUAAUAGCAGCCACAAGUAUUUUCAUCUCAGUCAUUUUCUAUAUUUUCAAAGGAGAGAUGGAAAAAAACUAUGACUUCGACAAGGACAGAGUCUGGGUACUGGAUUCUAGCGAUGCUCCUGGGAAACCACGUGCAGGCAGCAUAGAGAGACUCAGGCCCAGGACUCCUUCUGUCCAUCUUCCAGCCCCAAGAAAAGGGGCCUCCUUGUCCAAAAGAGUGGUUCUCCCUUCUAGAGAGUUCGGAGCUCUGUGCCAUGGAGGAGAUACACGGAAGACUUGCCAGAUGCAGCACCCACCCGACUGAGAAGUAUCUUCUAAGAUUUUCUGAGACUGCAGUUAAACAGACAUCGGGCCUAACUACUGGGAAGAAGUGUUUAGAAAUGGAAUCAACUUUUCUGUUGCAGUUUCCCAAGACUGGAAACAAUUCAAUCAUGUGCCCAUUGAACCCCUUACUCUGCCUCUAUCAUCAAUACUGGUCAUUCACACUACCAACGCCACAUGCAUAACAAUGAAAUGUUCAUAAACAAGCAGAAAUACCUGGGAGGCGUGGAGAGUUAUAAUGUUUCAAUAAUGCAUGUGUUAUGACACUAUAACCUCAGAAAAGAUAGAUUUCACAACUCUAAAAGCUCAGCUUUGGCGAGGAUAGGGAUGUUCUUCACCAACAUAGAACCAGCACUUGUUGAAAUGACUUUGGAGCUUGAAAUCUAGAGCCACCAAAAUGCUCAAGAAUUAACAUCGAAAAAUGUUCCUUUAAAAUGCCUUAGCCAACCGAACACAAACGUUUUCGCCAUAGCGACUCAGCCGACCAUUGCUGUUGUUGGUCUCAUCAUGGUCCAAAUGGAGCAUCCUUUACUACCUGAUUGAAGAACUGUAUGAAACUGACUCCCUUCUAGCUUUGACCAGAUGUGAUUCCUUUCUCCACCGUUAACACCCUGUCAAUACGUUACUUAUCACACUUACAGAAUUCUGUAUUUUACUUGCUCUAAUUAUUUGUCAAAUUUUUCCUGUUUCAUCCUUAGAUUAUCCCUCAACUUUAGCAACUGCAUCUCAGCUGCUCUGUAUUCUCAGCAGUGCUUAAGUGCUGUGAAUAUCAAUAAACAUUUUCCUG